CAGCCGCCACGGGAAUACGUAGGUGGCAAGCGUUGUCCGGAAUUAUUGGGCGUAAAGGGCUCGCAGGCGGUUUCUUAAGUCUGAUGUGAAAGCCCCCGGCUCAACCGGGGAGGGUCAUUGGAAACUGGGAAACUUGAGUGCAGAAGAGGAGAGUGGAGUUCCACGUGUAGCGGUGAAAUGCGUAGAGAUGUGGAGGAACACCAGUGGCGAAGGCGACUCUCUGGUCUGUAACUGACGCUGAGGAGCGAAAGCGUGGGGAGCGAACAGGAUUAGAUACCCCCGUAGUCCCUGUCUCUUAUAC
rnacentral:rRNA from 1 species